ensembl:lncRNA
GCAAUGAGCUGUCUUUUUUCUAAUGAAUAGUGUUACUAUUCUGUGAGUGACCUGUCAGAUGUGACAGGCGAGACGUGAGGGAUUGUUCAAAGGCCUGCAAGAGGAGCUGACAGGUCUCCUGAAGAGUGAUGGCUAUUUCCACAUACAGUGUUACUGGCACGAGCGAGGAGAAUGGCAGCCCUCGCAAGUCCACCUCCACUCCUGUCAUCAGGAUAGUUAACACAACACUGAGGGCCAUAAGUCAGAAGCCAAAGGUCAAAGGUCAAGGUGGUCCUGAGGCUCUCUUUUUCUGAAUUUCUAUUUUAUUUGACUUUUUUUCCCGUGAAUACUUCACACAUGGUAAUAGUAGAGAGAAAUGGUAAGAAGUAAAUUAUUUUUCAUGCCCCAAGUCAAACCAGAUAUGCUAUUCCAGUCGCUCCACAAAACAGACAUGCUUAUAAUAAAUGACAAAAAUAAAUAGCA